rnacentral:rRNA from 1 species
GCCAACGAGUGGCGGACGGGUGAGUAACACGUAGGUAACCUGCCCAGAAGCGGGGGACAACAUUUGGAAACAGAUGCUAAUACCGCAUAACANCGUUGUUCGCAUGAACAACGCUUAAAAGAUGGCUUCUCGCUAUCACUUCUGGAUGGACCUGCGGUGCAUUAGCUUGUUGGUGGGGUAACGGCCUACCAAGGCGAUGAUGCAUAGCCGAGUUGAGAGACUGAUCGGCCACAAUGGGACUGAGACACGGCCCAUACUCCUACGGGAGGCAGCAGUAGGGAAUCUUCCACAAUGGGCGCAAGCCUGAUGGAGCAACACCGCGUGAGUGAAGAAGGGUUUCGGCUCGUAAAGCUCUGUUGUUAAAGAAGAACACGUAUGAGAGUAACNGUUCAUACGUUGACGGUAUUUAACCAGAAAGUCACGGCUAACUACGUGCCAGCAGCCGCGGUAAUACGUAGGUGGCAAGCGUUAUCCGGAUUUAUUGGGCGUAAAGAGAGUGCAGGCGGUUUUCUAAGUCUGAUGUGAAAGCCUUCGGCUUAACCGGAGAAGUGCAUCGGAAACUGGAUAACUUGAGUGCAGAAGAGGGUAGUGGAACUCCAUGUGUAGCGGUGGAAUGCGUAGAUAUAUGGAAGAACACCAGUGGCGAAGGCGGCUACCUGGUCUGCAACUGACGCUGAGACUCGAAAGCAUGGGUAGCGAACAGGAUUAGAUACCCUGGUAGUCCAUGCCGUAAACGAUGAGUGCUAGGUGUUGGAGGGUUUCCGCCCUUCAGUGCCGGAGCUAACGCAUUAAGCACUCCGCCUGGGGAGUACGACCGCAAGGUUGAAACUCAAAGGAAUUGACGGGGGCCCGCACAAGCGGUGGAGCAUGUGGUUUAAUUCGAAGCUACGCGAAGAACCUUACCAGGUCUUGACAUCUUGCGCCAACCCUAGAGAUAGGGCGUUUCCUUCGGGAACGCAAUGACAGGUGGUGCAUGGUCGUCGUCAGCUCGUGUCGUGAGAUGUUGGGUUAAGUCCCGCAACGAGCGCAACCCUUGUUACUAGUUGCCAGCAUUAAGUUGGGCACUCUAGUGAGACUGCCGGUGACAAACCGGAGGAAGGUGGGGACGACGUCAGAUCAUCAUGCCCCUUAUGACCUGGGCUACACACGUGCUACAAUGGACGGUACAACGAGUCGCGAACUCGCGAGGGCAAGCAAAUCUCUUAAAACCGUUCUCAGUUCGGACUGCAGGCUGCAACUCGCCUGCACGAAGUCGGAAUCGCUAGUAAUCGCGGAUCAGCAUGCCGCGGUGAAUACGUUCCCGGGCCUUGUACACACCGCCCGUCACACCAUGAGAGUUUGUAACACCCAAAGUCGGUGGGGUAACCUUUUAGGAGCCAGCCGCCUAAG